rfam:Cavia porcellus supercont2_2 genomic scaffold, whole genome shotgun sequence.
GGGGAUUUAGCUCAGCGGCAUAAGCGCCUGCCUUGCAAGCAGGUAGCCGUGAGUUCGAUCCCUG